CGUUCAUUCGCGUGAUAGCAUUCUCUUGGAAUCUGUGCCAUCUUUUUGAGACACUCCUCCCAAACAUGAGAGGGAAGUGGAAAAAGAAGCGCAUGCGUAGGCUGAAGCGCAAAAGGAGAAAGAUGAGGCAGAGGUCCAAGUAAACUGCUUCCCUUCUGCUGCAGCUGGAACCAACCCUCCUAGACCUUCCCACGACCCCUCACCUUUUCCAGAAAUCCAAGCUGAGGCCUUUUGAAGGACUCCUACAUUCCUCAGAAGGAUACGGGCACCCUUGUUGGAUCUCCUGGCUCUUCUAUUUGUGAUGUGAAAGCUUCUCUUGGACAUUCUGGACUUCCGCCAGCUCAGCAAAGUUGCUGUUU
ensembl:lncRNA